AACGCGUGAGGAACCUGCCUCAAAGAGGGGGACAANAGUUGGAAACGACUGCUAAUACCGCAUAAGCCCACGACCCGGCAUCGGGUUGAGGGAAAAGGAGCAAUCCGCUUUGAGAUGGCCUCGCGUCCGAUUAGCUAGUUGGUGAGGUAAUGGCCCACCAAGGCAACGAUCGGUAGCCGGACUGAGAGGUUGAACGGCCACAUUGGGACUGAGACACGGCCCAGACUCCUACGGGAGGCAGCAGUGGGGAAUAUUGCACAAUGGGGGAAACCCUGAUGCAGCGACGCCGCGUGGAGGAAGAAGGUCUUCGGAUUGUAAACUCCUGUUGUUGAGGAAGAUNAUGACGGUACUCAACAAGGAAGUGACGGCUAACUACGUGCCAGCAGCCGCGGUAAAACGUAGGUCACAAGCGUUGUCCGGAAUUACUGGGUGUAAAGGGAGCGCAGGCGGGAAGACAAGUUGGAAGUGAAAUCUAUGGGCUCAACCCAUAAACUGCUUUCAAAACUGUUUUUCUUGAGUAGUGCAGAGGUAGGCGGAAUUCCCGGUGUAGCGGUGGAAUGCGUAGAUAUCGGGAGGAACACCAGUGGCGAAGGCGGCCUACUGGGCACCAACUGACGCUGAGGCUCGAAAGUGUGGGUAGCAAACAGGAUUAGAUACCCUGGUAGUCCACACCGUAAACGAUGAUUACUAGGUGU
rnacentral:rRNA from 1 species